CUCAGGAUUCAGCAUGGACAUGACAGACCCCACUUUGCUCUUGGGGCUUCUGCUGCUCUGGAUCCCAGGUGCCAGAUGUGACAUCCAGAUGACACAGCCACCCUCCUUGUCUGCAUCUCUGGGAGACAGAGUCACCAUUACCUGCAGGGCCAGUCAGGACAUUAGCAAGUACUUAAACUGGUACCAGGAGAAACCAGGUGAAAGUCCCAAACUCCUGAUCUACUAUACAUCCAGGUUACAAUCUGGGGUCCCAUCCAGGUUCAGUGGCAGUGGAUCUGGGGCAGAGUAUUCUCUCACCAUCAGCAGCCUGAAGUCUGAAGAUGUUGCCACUUAUUACUGUCAACAAGGUUACAGUGGGUUCCCACAGUGCUACAAAUCAGAACAUAAACUUUCUAGGAAAGCAGAAGUGUGGGUCUGGGCCGCCCCAGCUGACUCUCCUGACGACUUGACCUACAGAAGCCAUUUAUCAGAUCUAGGCAAACAUUUGUGCAAGCUCACUAAAAGGUGUUUGUUUUGGUAG